rnacentral:rRNA from 1 species
AUUGAACGCUGGCGGCAUGCUUUACACAUGCAAGUCGAACGGUAACAGGCCGCAAGGUGCUGACGAGUGGCGAACGGGUGCGUAAUGCAUCGGAACGUGCCCAGUCGUGGGGGAUAACUACUCGAAAGAGUAGCUAAUACCGCAUACGAUCUAUGGAUGAAAGCGGGGGACCGUAAGGCCUCGCGCGAUUGGAGCGGCCGAUGUCAGAUUAGGUAGUUGGUGGGGUAAAGGCUCACCAAGCCAACGAUCUGUAGCUGGUCUGAGAGGACAACCAGCCACACUGGGACUGAGACACGGCCCAGACUCCUACGGGAGGCAGCAGUGGGGAAUUUUGGACAAUGGGCGCAAGCCCGAUCCAGCAAUGCCGCGUGCAGGAAGAAGGCCUUCGGGUUGUAAACUGCUUUUGUACGGAACGAAACGGCUCUGGUUAAUACCCGGGGCUAAUGACGGUACCGUAAGAAUAAGCACCGGCUAACUACGUG